rnacentral:rRNA from 1 species
AUUGAACGCUGGCGGCAGGCCUAACACAUGCAAGUCGAGCGGAUGAAGGGAGCUUGCUCCUGGAUUCAGCGGCGGACGGGUGAGUAAUGCCUAGGAAUCUGCCUGGUAGUGGGGGAUAACGUCCGGAAACGGGCGCUAAUACCGCAUACGUCCUGCGGGAGAAAGUGGGGGAUCUUCGGACCUCACGCUAUCAGAUGAGCCUAGGUCGGAUUAGCUAGAUGGUGGGGUAAAGACCUACCAAGGCGAGGAUUCGUGACUGGCCGGAUAGGAUGAUCAGUCACGCUGGAACUGAGACGCGGUCCUGGCUACUGCGGGAGGGAGCAGUGGGGAAUAUUGGACAAUGGGCGAAAACCUGAUCCAGCCAUGCCGCGUGUGUGAAGAAGGUCUUCGGAUUGUAAAGCACUUUAAGUUGGGAUGAAGGGCAGUAAGUUGAUACCUUGCUGGUUUGACGGUACCAACAGAAGAAGCACCGGCUAACUUCGUG